AACGAACGCUGGCGGCAUGCCUAACACAUGCAAGUCGAACGAGACCUUCGGGUCCAGUGGCGCACGGGUGCGUAACGCGUGGGAACCUGCCUUUAGGUUCGGAAUCACUCCCCGUAAGGGGUGCUAAUACCGGAUAAUGUUUUCGGACCCAAGAUUUAUCGCCUUUGGAUGGGCCCGCGUUGGAUUAGCUAGUUGGUAGGGUAAAAGCCUGCCAAGGCGCCGAUCCAUAGCUGGUCUGAGAGGAUGAUCAGCCACACUGGGACUGAGACACGGCCCAGACUCCUACGGGAGGCAGCGGUGGGGAAUAUUGGACAAUGGGCGAAAGCCUGAUCCAGCAAUGCCGCGUGAGUGAUGAAGGCCUUAGGGUUGUAAAGCUCUUUUACCCGGGAUGAUAAUGACAGUACCGGGAGAAUAAGCUCCGGCUAACUCCGUG
rnacentral:rRNA from 1 species